GUCGCGCGGUGAGCACGUGACCGGCCAUAAUGGGUGCAUGAAGAAACAAAUGCAGAUAUGAAGUCGAAAAUUUGUUAUUGAGACAAAACGUUUUGCGAUUGAUCAGUGAUUUCAUUGAUACAUCACGAGAUCGUCAGGUUUCUCGUACAUUUCAUAUGCACGCGUGCGCGCGCACGUUGUCGAUGAUUCAUCCAUAAUGAACGCACGUUUCGAUCAUUACAAGCGAUCGAUUGUGUUGAGGUUAUUUAGACGUAGCGGUUUCGUGUCACGUGCGAUCGAAGUAAUUACUAUGUGUUGAUUUUAUUGACUUUGGUUGCAAUCUUUCGUUGACGUAACGCGCAAUAUAUUAAUGUGUCUCGUCUAAUCUUAUAAUAAGCGUGUUUUCAAAUAAACUUAUUAGUCCUUAUUACGUUUACGCGUUCUAAAGACCCAAUGACCUGAGAUGCCUCAACCUUGUUCACCAAAUAUGGUCUUGCGUCAAGGUCUUUGGAGACUCACAGGCCCCGAAGUUGUGCUAUCGCGUCGAGUCACCGGACGUUCUCUUCAGCGAAUGCAACGUGCGUUUCUGUGUAAAUUAUCGUGAGUAAAACGACUCAUGUUGGAGACACAUCAUUCCGUAUGAAUAAACGAAAUUUGCAGGAAUUUAAGUAAAGUGACGAGGAGAAUAAAGGCUUUACAUUUAGUUUCCCAAUGAAGAAUUCGUGGUAGAUAUAUUAAUGCUGGUACUGAUAUUGCAUGUGGCUACGUCAUCGCUGUCUCAUAAUGCUACCAAAAUCCAUAUAAAAUGCGGCGAUAUAAAAUUCAAGCUUGCCUAUGCAAAAAAAAGAUUUUUUUAAUAAGCAGAUUAAAUUUUUACUAAUUUUUAUUGGAAGACAGAUAUUUGUAUACACGUUCUUUAUAAGGAAGAAUUGAUCACUAUCGAUUGAAAAAUAUGUCCUUUCGUCUUUGCAACAUGACACAUCUACAUGGAUUAGUCAUUGCCAGCCCCAAUGUCGCGAGGCUAUGAUCAACGGAACGCAUGCGAAAAGCCAAGGAUUUCGAAACGCGGUCACGGUUCCACCAUUGAACUAUAUGUGUAUCAAACAAAAAUUUAUUAUACGUGAAUGUUCACGAUGCGUUUGACCUGAAAAUGCUUAACUGGAAGUAAGGCGCUGUUAAUACCAUGUGCAUAUGUUCGAUGCCAAGGGGAGAAAACUUCAAUCUCGAAAUUUUCAAUGAUAUUCGGCCGCUGCAUCUAGCUUACUCUAAAUACAAGUUCGACACGUAAUAAUGAUAUCUCUUCAACGAUCUCUCGACGAACGGUUACUUUCUCGGAGGUACGAAAAAGCGGAUUGCUACGGUUUGGAUAACGUCGAAGGAGGCCACGGGGAGGAGGUGGAAGGGAAUCGACCCAGAAGAAAACCUGCUUCCGUCGUGACACCUGUCUACCCGUUAUAUAUACAAGCAUCUCGGCAGGAAUGCAAAAUGAUGAUGUAAGGCAAUGCACUUUAGAUGGCGUCUUGUCUCAUAUUUUAUGGUGUUUGGAGAAAUCGAUGAGAGACGUCUGUAGUGGGUACCACGCCCAAAGUGAGGGAGGGUGAAGGUGUACCGCGACGAACCCCCAUACGGAAACUCGUGGAGCAGCUCUACGGCGCUGUCACAUAUCGAAAAUAAUGUACAAAGUGGGCUAACCUUGAUUCAGAGCUAUCAGAGUUUAUAUAAAUGACUCAAUCUAACUUAA